CUGUGCAAAAAACAACUGAGGAUCCAGUAAUAAUUGCUGAGUUGGUUGGUGGAUAUGGUAAUGGUGAUGAAAAUACUGAUGAGGUUACUCAAGAGGUAGCUGACGUUAAAGACGUUAACCUUUCAGACUCUUCUCAGGUGUCUGCUGAACGAACUUCAAGGUUGUUUUGUGAUCUGUUGGAAGGA